CUGUUCCUGUCUGCUGAAGCAGUGUUUAUGACAAGCUACCAACUCAAGUUCAUUGGAUAUAGAGAACAUGUUAGACUGGGUGUAGGCACUUGACGUUCUAGCAUCUGAAUUUCCCCUCAGGCAUUUGUAGUAGAAUACAGACAGUUGUAGUUAGACAAGAAGGUGCUUGAGUCGUAAAGAAAUGCCUCAUGGCUUAGGAAAGCCUCCUUAUAUGUUCAGUAUUCAGAAUUCUUAUGAUGUUUCCAAGACAGAUAUGUUGGUUUCAGCUUUGGUUUUGCUGGGUUUUUUUUUUGCUGUUUUGUAGUGAGUUUUUUUCCAUCAAUAUAUGCAUGAAAUGAGGUGUGUCAGCCAUACCAGUAGAGUUUUAGCUGUAUCUUUCAGCAUGGUAUCCAUUUAAAAAUUCUUUUUUAAUUUCUAUUCCUGAUUUAACCUUUGAAGAAUGAAAAUUAGUUAUUUCUGUUACUCCCUUCCUUCUAAUGUUCAGUGUUUCUGCUCUCCCCUCAGCACCUGGGGAGCUCAGGGAACACAACCUUCAGCUGUUUCUCAGAGCUUUGGUCUUUUUACUGGUGUUCUUAACUAUCUCAUCUCUUAAGGAAGGAGUUUGUGGGAAUAGAGAAGCUCUUUGGAGUUCCUAGUAGUACCAGUCCAAACUGACAAAAUAUAUGAAAAGCAAGUAUUGCAAAUUUAUCCACAACUAGAGAGUACUGUGGGAUCUUCAACAUCUAAAACUAGAUAUUUGUAAGCCAUCAAAUAGGAUGCUUUGUUGAUUAUUAAAUUAUACAUAUACUGGUAA